rnacentral:rRNA from 1 species
UGGGGAAUAUUGCACAAUGGGGGAAACCCUGAUGCAGCGACGCCGCGUGAGCGAUGAAGGCUUUCGAGUCGUAAAGCUCUGUCCUAUGGGAAGAUAAUGAUGGUACCAUAGAAGAAAGCCCCGGCUAAUUACGUGCCAGCAGCCGCGGUAAUACGUAAGGGGCGAGCGUUGUCCGGAAUUAUUGGGCGUAAAGAGUGCGUAGGCGGCAAAUUAAGUCAGAUGUGAAAACUAAGGGCUCAACCCAUAGAUUGCAUCUGAAACUGAUAUGCUUGAGUCAAGGAGAGGAAAGUGGAAUUCCUAGUGUAGCGGUGGAAUGCGUAGAUAUUAGGAGGAAUACCGGUGGCGAGGGAGACUGUCUGGACUUGAACUGACGCUGAGGCACGAAAGCGUGGGGAGCAAACGGG